rnacentral:rRNA from 1 species
GUCCACACUGUAAACGAUGAUCACUCGUUGUUUGCGAUAUACCGCAAGUGACCAAGAGAAAUCGAUAAGUGAUCCACCUGGGGAGUACGUUCGCAAGAAUGAAACUCAAAGGAAUUGACGGGGGCCCGCACAAGCGGAGGAACAUGUGGUUUAAUUCGAUGAUACGCGAGGAACCUUACCUGGGUUUAAAUGGGGAGUGACAGGCUUGGAAACAGGCCCUUCUUCGGACACUCUUCAAGGUGCUGCAUGGUUGUCGU